UUGAACAUGCUCAAUUCUAGUUACUACAAAUUGUGAACUUGUGACUUGAAAAUGGUUAAGUGUAGCUACUUGAAAUGUGAAGUUAAUGACUUGAAAAUUCUCAAGUGUAGUUACUACAAUUGUGAACUUGUGACUUGAAAAUGCCUAAGUGUUGCUACUUCAAAUGUGAAGUUAAUGACUUGAAAAAGCUUAAGUCUAGCUACUUGAAAAUGAUUUAAGUGUAUUCACUUGAUAUAUGAACUAAUGACUUGAUUUUUAUAUAUUUUAAUGUAAAGUUACAUAUUAUUGAAUAUCUAUAUUUUUGUAGAUGGAUCAUCGUCUAUGGAUGUAUGAUAUGGAUUAUGGAAAUGUUGGCGGUUUAAAACCCCAAUAUCUUAAUGGUGUUAGAGGUUUUAUCGAUCAUGCGAUGUCACUAGAUCUAUUCCAAAAAAAAUGGAGUGGUUAGGUUUCCUUGUAGUUCAUGUAGGUGCUUGAAAUUUUUUCAACCAGAUAUAGUUAUGACUCAUCUCUAUCAUAAUGGAUUUAAGCCAAGAUACUUUGUGUGGGUCGAUCACAGAGAAAGAGAUGGUUUGAAUGGUAUAUUUUAUAAUUCAUUGCCUAUGCAUGAAUAUGACAUGUUUGUACAUGGUCGACAUGCUAGGAUUCAAUAUGCUAGAGUUCAACAUAGGGUGCAACACGAUAGAGUACAACACGAGGAUAGGAUUCAUGAAAUGGUCAAUGAUGUUUUUGGUAUUGGGGAUGGGAUGGAACUCGAACAGAAUUUAAAAGAAGAUCCUAAUGAAGAAGCAGGAGGUUUCUAUCAACAAUUAGAAGAGGCUAGUCACCCAUAAUGUGAAGGGAGUCCGCAUUCUGCUUUAUAUAUUGCAGUUAGAUUACUGAGCAUCAAAUCUGAUUGGAAUGUUGCUCAAGCUGCUAUGGACUCUAUGGUUGGUCUUUAGGGUGAACUAGUAAAUCCAGAGUUGAACAUAUCUCAGAAUUUUUAUCAAGCAAAGAAAUUGGUUUCCAAGUUGGGAUUGUCAUAUAAUAGAAUCCAUUGUUGUAUAAAUGGUUGUAUGUUGUUCUAUAAGAAUGCUGAUGAAUUAGAAAAUUGUAAGUUUUGUGGACAUGCUCAUUAUAAGCGGACUCCCAUUGGAAAGAUGGUUUCUAUUAAGGCAAUGUACUAUUUACCUCCUAUACCUACGUUAAAGAGGUUGUAUGCUUCAAUGAGUUCUUCCCCACACAUGAAAUGGCACCAUGAAAAUAGAAGGACACCAGGUGUCUUGUCUCAUCUAUCAGAUGUAGAAGAUUGGAAGAACUUCGAUAGAACUUAUCCUAAUUUUGCUAGUGAGCCAAGAAAUGUUAGAUUGGGGUUGUGUGCAGAUGGUUUCACACCAUUCUCUAAUUCUGGCACACUUUAUUCUUGUUGGCCUGUAUUUAUUACUCCAUAUAAUCUUCCACUUGAAAUGUGCAUGACAAGUCCCUACAUAUUUCUAAGUUGUAUUAUUCCAGGUCCCCGCAAUCCAAAAAGUUUGAAAGAUGUGUAUCUCCAGCCAUUGAUAGAUGAAUUACUACAAUUAUGGCAUGAAGGUGUAGUGACAUAUGAUAUAUCAGCUAAGCAAAAUUUUGUCAUGCGUGCCAAUUUAAUGUGGACUAUUAGCAAUUUUCCUGCAUAUAGGAUGUUGUCUGGUUGGAUGACUACUAGAAAGUUAGCUUGCCCAUAUUUCAUGGAAAAUAGCAAAGUAUUCACUUUAAAGAAUGGUCGAAAAAAAUUCUUGGUUUGAUUGUUACCGCCAGUUCUUACCAAUGGACCACGAGUUUAGAAGGAUGAAAAAUGCGUUCAUAAAGAAUAAGAUUGAGAAUGAUCCGCCACCUCCAUUACUGUCAGGGCAUCAGAUUUGGGAGAGAGUUUGUAAUUUUCCUAAAGUUACAGUUAGUCCACCUUCUAGACUUCCUGGAUAUGGUGUUGAACAUAAUUAAACCAAACAAAGCAUAUUUUGGGAGUUGCCAUAUUGGGGGUGACAAUAAACUAAGAAAUAAUCUUGAUCCGACCCACAUUGAAAAAUAUUAUUUUGAUAAUUUAUUCAACACAGCCAUGGAUGUUAAGGGCAAGAAAAAAGAUAAUUCAAAAGCUAGAAUGGAUUUAAAGAAGUAUUGUAAGAGAAAAGAAUUGUGGUUGAAGGAAAAAGAAAAUGGUAAAUUGUUUAAGCCCAAGGCCAGUUUUUUAUUCACAUUAGAUGAUAAAUGGAAAAUAUGUGAGUGGGUUAAGAAUUUGAGGAUGCCUAAGGGGUAUGCUUCGAAUUUAGGAAAACGAACGGAUAUGGAAGAAGGGAAGUUAAUUGGUAUGAAAAGCCAUAAUUGUCACGUUUUUAUGGAGACCUUGAUUUCUAUCGCAUUUAGCCACCUUCCUGAGAGGAUAUGGAAACCAAUCACAGAGAUAAGUUUAUUCUUCAAAGAUUUAUGUUUGAGAAAGUUGUUGGAGAGUAGCUUGGACAGAAUGGAGCAGAAUAUUCCUGUCAUCACUACUAAGUUGGAGAAGAUCUUUCCAUGUGGCUUUUUUGAUGUGAUGGAGCAUCUUCCAAUUCACCUCGUAGAAGAGGCACGUCUUGGAGGACCAAUUCAAAUGAGGUGGAUGUAUUCAGGAGAGAGAUAAAUUUUUUUAAUUUAAUUCCAUCAUUUUCUUAAAAGAAUUACUUUUAUCUACCUAAGAUAAAAUUAUGUAGGAAAAUUGGCUAGUGUAAACAAACGAUUAAGCAAAGGGGAAAGAUAGAAGGAUCGAUUUGUGAAGCUUAUCUUGUAAAAGAAACUGCUUGUUUUUGUUCUUACUACUUUGGGGAUGAAGUACCAUGCAAAAGAAAUAGGUCCAAUCGUAAUGAUGAAGGUGAUGAUGAUCCUAUGUUUCCACCUAUAUCAAUUUUUAACAAUUUAGGCAGAGGAUCUAAAAGUGAUUGUACGCGAGCCCUCACUGGGAUGGAAAGAAAAUCUAUUGUGACACAUGUUUUGCUCAAUUGUCCAGAGAUUCAACCAUAUCUUGAGUAAGUGUUAAUGAUGUUAUCGAAUUAUAUUAAUUUGUUUAGGGUACUUCAAUAAUAAAAAAAUCUUAUUGAUGUAUACUUGACAGUUUAAUCAUUGGCAAAUGGGUUAAUGAUGCUGUAUAUACGAGGUUUUACAAUUGGCUGGAAGAAUAAGUAAGUAUGAUAGAUCACAUGUGCAUUUACUAAAAUUAUAUAUAGGUCAUUUAAUAAAAUUUGUAUUUUGAUUUAACGAUAUGUAGGUUUUGGAUGAACAUAGUACUGUCGAACAUUUGCCAUUAGUGAGAGAUAUUAUAUUUGGUCCUGCAACUCAAAUUCGGACAAUGGAUAAAUAUUGUGUGAAUGGUUUCAAGUUUCAAACCGAGAAAGUUUCUAAGUAUAAGAAAAAUAAUAAUAGCGGCGUGUGUGUUGAAGGUGAUAUUGACGGUAAUGGUCAAAUCGUUGAAUAUUUUGGUGUCAUACAAGAGAUAUUAGAAGUCAGGUACCCUGGUUGACGAACAAAGAAGAUAAUUCUAUUUUGGUGCAAGUGGUUUGAUCCAUCACAUAGAGGUACCAGGGUGAAUCAACAGCAUAAUAUAAUUGAAGUUAAGCACACGAGGCAAUAUAAUGUUAUGAUCCCUUUAUUAUUGCACAAAAUGCCAGGCAGGUAUAUUAUGCUAUAUAUCCAUUGUGAGAUAAAGUAAAUUGGUGGGUGUUUAUAAAGACUAAACCUGUGGGGAGAAUUGAGAUUGAGAAUGUGUAAGAUGUGGCAUACUAGAACGAAGUCACAGUUGUUGAUCAGAUAGUGGAUGAUGAGUUGGAAAACAAUCUAGAACAUCCUCAACGUAUAUUAGAAAAAGUUUCUGAUGAUGAGAUCAUUGACAUCGCAAAUACAAUGGAAGAAAUAGAUGAGGGAAAUGAAUCAUUUUGGGAGAACGAAUGGGAUCAUGAAAAUGAAACAACAGAUGAGGAAGAAUGGGAGAAUGAUAGAAAUGAAACAAGCGAUGAGGAAGAUUGAGAGAAUAUAGAUUAGCUAGUUUGUGUUUUAUUACCACUAGUUAGUGUAUUGUAUUUUGUUGGUUAGAGUUUUUUGAGAUUACUUGUUUGUACUAGUUAUCUUUUUAGCCUAAACUCUGUUUACUGGUGUACAUGCUGCUUUCUCUAUUUGUUACUUGAAUAUCUGAGGAAGUUCCACUUACUGGUGUACAUGUUGCUUUCUUUGUUUCUCUGUUUAUUGCUUUCUCUGUUUUCAUGCAUCUGUUAGUUACAACUUUAAUUAAUGUUCUCUAUAGUUUUUACUACUAGAUUGUUGUUGUAUACUAGCUGUCAGCUAUAGAGUUAUAUAUUGCAGGUAAAUAAAUGCAAAAAAUGGGUAUACAGGUGAUAAUCAUUCUUUAAAUACCAGAUUUUUGAUUUUUUUCCUAAACCUUACAGUAGUAGCUUUUAAUCCAUUUGCUGAAUCAGAACUACCUGUUCAAAGAAAUAAAACAUGUUCUAAUAUUUGCUGGAUUAUAUCCAUAGAAAAAUAGUGUGUGCUUGUGUGGUAUUUGGAUGAUUUUGUUGGCUACAUUUGCAUUGAACUAUAAGGAAGCAGGGGUGUAUCAUCAUUGCCAACCAUCAUCAGUUGGUAUGAUAAUACACAGCCAAAUUUAAAACAAUUUUGUUAUUUCAAUAUGUGGGAAAAAAAAUAAGGGUUGCUAAUAUAAUGUUUCAGCGAGUGGGUAAACGACAAAGGUUGAAUAAAGAUUAUAGUCACAAACUAUAGUCCAAUCUGAUCCAAACUAUACCUAUGUCUUCUCUGGGUAUGCACCUCUUAGUAUUCAAAUAAUUGGUUAUUUUUUAUGAAUCUGGAUGCUUUAGAUUCACUGGAAUAAGAUACUUCUAUUCUAUGUAAUUCUAGAGUUGGGCUUCAUUACGUUGAGAAGCAGUCAUGGAAUUAAGUCCUUGCAAGAAAAGUUCAUUAAUUUCUCUUUUUUCUGUUAGAAAUAUUACAACUGUUUCAUUAAUUGAUUUCCUUCCUCCACUAUCCACCAUUAUGUGGGUGGCUAACUCCACUAUCUCAGCAAAUGUUAUUUGGAACAUAGUGUGAAAAAUCUUAAUCUCAGUCCACUAUUUAUGACAUCGGUAUAAUUUUAUAUUCAGGCGUCCUAUUGAAGAAAUAUUAAAGUUGCUUCCAAGUUCACACUUGGAUACUAAGAGGGGUGGAUUUUCCAGCAGUCCAUUACUGGACUCAUUAAAUAGAUCUUUGCUUUGCUCGGACAAUAUAAACUUGCAUGCAGAUGACAUCCGGUAGUAGUGGUGAUCAGUCUCGUCCUGAUAAGAAUUCGAAGUCAAUUGCUAAAAACAAAUCUAGGACACCUAUAAAUCCUGAUGAUAUUCCUGGUCGACUUUCUUCACAGCCACAGAUGCACACCUCUUCAUCAGGGAGGUCUUAUGUCCCAUUUGGCACUGGUAAUCCUAUAGAUUAUCAUGGUCCUAGAAAGCAGCGACAGGUGUGCACUUCUUACGCUCCACAUACUCUCAGGCCUCCUACAAAUAUAGGGACUUUGAUAUUAUCAUCUGGUAAUCCAUCCCCCCAUGGUUCAUCCCCCCACCUCUCAGGAUUGCAGCUGAGAGACAACUCUGACUCUGAUGCCUAGACAUCUACUCCCCCAGUUAAUGAACCUUGGGUACUCCUAGGGGUAGCAUCCGCAUCUUGAUCUGCACCUCCACCUCCACCUAUAGUAGAUGAUACUGAUGCACAUUUGAUUGGUCUAAUUCCUGGAGAUAAGGACAGGCUUGGUAGAGUCUUCAUCGAACCUGAUGGAUCUACGUGGCAUCCCGCAUCAAAAUAAGUUAAUAAGGCAGUAAGGGAGAGCGUUAGGAGGCUUUUUUCACAACCUUGGCACAGUUGAUCGGAGAUUCCAGAAGACCAUAGAUAAGCCAUGUUUGAAGAGUUCAAGACAAUGUGUACUUGGUUGAAAAAACAUAAUAGAGUUAUAUCCAUUAUUGUUUAGAGGAAUACUGGUGCAAAGCUACGCAAUUGGCUUGAACGUGUUUGACGUACAGGCAAUGUUUCACAAUGGCUUCUCAAAACCGUAUAUGAUGACUUGUGUAUCUAUUGGAAUCUUUUGAAUAUAAGACAAUCUCUGAGAAAAAUAAGAAAGCUAGAGCCAGUCUAAAAGGUGGCUCAUUGCACACCGGAGGUGCGAAGAGUGUUGGGGUCAUAGUUUGAGAAAUGGUAUGUAGUAACCUUAGGUUUUACUUUAUGUGUUUAUAUAAAGUUCAUUAAAUAUUACUUGAUUGUGCUUAUUUACCUUUUUGUUAGUAGGAAAAGGACUUGGGUCGCGAACAGACUCGACUUGAAGUCUUUAGACGAACACAUCUGCUGAAAAAAAUGAAUGAGUCGAAACCGGAUGUGUGGGUUGAUCCCAGGGCUAAAAAUACCAACAUAAGACUUAUAUUUAUAUUCUACUCUAUUAUACCUUUAUAUUUAAUUAGCUAUAUCAUUCUCCUAUUGGAUACCUUUUGUUAUCGACUAGCAAGUAACCCGUGUAGUUCUUAAGGUUCCAAGGAUUUGGUUUUUGGUCACUUGGGUGUUUAUUCAGUGGUGAUUCAAUAAGCACUUUUAUUCCUCUUUAAGGUGCCGAGAGAUAGUACCUUAAAGCUAUAACCUUGAUCGAUCAAGAACUGUUGUCUUUUGGUUGAGUAGUAUAUUUCCUGCAUUUCAACAUAGCUUGUAAGGUCAUACUAUUAAAAUUGUUGUAUCCAAAUAACGUAUAAGAAGAUAUCAGAUAUCAACAGAAACUAGCAAACAAAAAAGGAUUUUGCACCUGGGUAUAUGUUGACACGAGGGAGUAAAAGAAUGCUAUACUCUUCUUUACCUCCUGCCAUCCUAUCUUGAUGUUUCCCCUAUAAACACAACAAUGAGCUAAACACAGUUGGAUUUGGAAAUAUGUAAUGAAAUCUAGGGCUUGCAUUAGUUCACGUGUUGGGCAAGAAGUUGCAAUAUCUAUAUAUCAGUUCUCAUACUUAACAUGGUUUUCUUAUAGGAUAUAUAUUUCCACAAGAGUUUAGAUAUUGAUUACACGCAUGCAUUUCCCUAGAGUAAGCAACUUAUCUUCAACUCACAACUCUCUUUUGACUCUCAUUGGUAAGUUAUCCUACGAAAAAAUGUCCAUAAAAGAUGAGAUAAAUUCUAAUGGUUCUGCUUAUUUGAAUAUUCUCAUACUAAUGGGUGAUAAAUUCAUAGAUGUAUUGAUAGCUUUAAGCUUUCUCUUUCUUUUUUUUUUCCUUUUUUGAUUACUGAGAAAUUC